GAUGAAGAACGUAGCGAAAUGCGAUAAGUAAUGUGAAUUGCAGAAUUCAGUGAAUCAUCGAAUCUUUGAACGCACCUUGCGCUCCUUGGCAUUCCGAGGAGCAUGCCUGUUUGAGCGUCGUUGAAUUCUCAGGAUCCCACAAAGGCUGUAGUAGCAUUACUACUACUGUCCUUCACGUGGGGGUGUGGAUUGUGGAGGAUGCAUUUAUGCCCCGCCGGGGUUCUGCUUUGCUCCUCUGAAACGCAUUGCCGGUUACGGCUGUGGUCGCGAACCUGUUGCCGGUGUGAUACACACGUCUUACCUGCAUCUAAUCCGUGCCCAGCCAGGCCAUACGAGACAAAUUCUCUAACGAUUUGACCUCAAAUCAGGCAGGACUACCCGCUGAACUUAAGCAUAUCAAUAAGCGGAGGA
rnacentral:misc_RNA from 1 species